UACAGAGGUCUCGAGCGUUGUUCGGAUUCGUUGGGCGUAAAGGGUGCGUAGGUGGCUAGGUAAGUCGGAUGUGAAAUCCCGGGGCUCAACCCCGGAACUGCAUUCGAUACUGCUUGGCUAGAGUACUGGAGAGGAGAUUGGAAUUUACGGUGUAGCAGUGAAAUGCGUAGAUAUCGUAAGGAAGACCAGUGGCGAAGGCGGAUCUCUGGACAGUUACUGACACUGAGGCACGAAGGCCAGGGGAGCAAACGGG
rnacentral:rRNA from 1 species